GGGCUCAUAGCUCAGGUGGUUAGAGCGCACGCCUGAUAAGCGUGAGGUCGGAGGUUCGAGUCCUCUUGAGCCCA
rnacentral:tRNA from 1 species